GCUUCCCGAAUUCUGGCCGAAUAGUCCUGUCGCAGAUAAGCUCAGCUUCUGCUAUUCCGUUGGCUGCUCUGUUGCUUUUGGGGCUCCCUGAUAACUCUUCUGGUUCCUUGCAUGGACUUGUCAUGUUUAUCAUGGGUCUGAGCAUCUCCUGGAAUGGUCCUGCAACUAACAAGCAACCCGAUAUUUGCUGAGAUUGUACCUGAGAGGUCAAGGACAAGCAUCUAUGAAUUGGACUGUUCUUUUGAGUUAGUUCUAGCUUCAUUCGCUCCACCAGUUGUUGGGUUUCUAGCCGAGCAUGUCUAUGGGUACAAUCCCGUCCCCUACGGAGCAUGUCACUGUACCUAAAUGGCCUAUCAUUUCUCAUCUUUUUUAAAUUAAUUAGCUCACAUUACAUAAUGUGAGAAUGUGUUUUUAUGGUUAAGCUAUAGUCUUGAUUCAGAUUCACUUCUAUUUGUUUCAGCUAUUGGAGAUGCUUCUGAAUAAUUGCGGAGAGCCUGUCCAUAGGCAGGUCAUUGAUAAUGGCCUUCUUCCAAUACUUGUGAAGAUAGUGAAGAAAAAGACGGAUUUACCAGUUCGAGAAAAAAUAUUUCUUCUGUUAGAUGCAACACAAACAUCCCUUGGUGGAGCUAAAGCAAGGCUCCCUCAGUACUAUGAGUCGUGAAACAAUUUGUCUCCCUUCUUUUCAGUUGUAUAUUGUCCUUGUUAGAUUAAACUGUCUUACUACACUUUAUCUAACAUUCUGUUUGCUUUUUGGCUGACUGGCUUAUUUGUUGGAUGGACAACAGAUUAAAGGCUGCUGGUGGUAGAGCUAAUGGAGAUGGAACAAGGAAGACAAGGACACGGGACCGGCCUAGGGCUGUUCCAGCUCCAGAGGCAAACGCCGAACUGCAAGCAAAUAUUGAUAAAAGAAGGUUAAUAACUCAUGCAAAUGCGAAGAGCAAGAGUGAAAAGUUCCCUCCGCCGCAUCAGGAUGGCGCACUUGGAUUUCCCUUGGGUUGUUCGAACCACAUGGAACCUUCAUUUGAACCCCCAGACCCUUCUUCCUUCAGCACUGUAUUUCCUUAC